UACGAAGGGGGCUAGCGUUGCUCGGAAUCACUGGGCGUAAAGCGCACGUAGGUGGGUCGUUAAGUCAGGGGUGAAAUCCUGGAGCUCAACUCCAGAACUGCCUUUGAUACUGAGGAUCUUGAGUUCGGGAGAGGUGAGUGGAACUGCGAGUGUAGAGGUGAAAUUCGUAGAUAUUCGCAAGAACACCAGUGGCGAAGGCGGCUCACUGGCCCGAUACUGACGCUGAGGCACGAAAGCGUGGGAGCAAACAGGG
rnacentral:rRNA from 1 species